GGGAGCGUACUGGAUUCGAUUUAGAUCCUUACGCCAGAUUGCAAGCAGAGGAUGAUAGUUGGCCUCUUAAAACAUCUAUCAAAAAAACAUAAAUGCCAACGAUAACGUUGACAUGGAGUUCGCUCCUUCAGUAGCUGAAGCUGACGAGAUUCUCGCCAAGUUCGGUUACGUUGAAGAGGAGUCUCUCCAACUGGCGGCAUAAGUCCCGCCACGUUCUACUCUGGAUGCUCGUUAAAGAGAUAGAGCGACGACAGCGAGCAAAAAACUGGAGCACGUAAGGGAGCCCAGUAUAAAUUUAUUAUAUCCUUUACAACCUUGCGUAGGCCGUUUGUCGGUGACAUGCCAAGCGAGUAUUAACACCGACUAAGCUUGUAGUAUAUUUGAGCCGAUGGCUUUAAAGACGCGGGUUCGACUCCCGCCGCUUCCACCA
rnacentral:tmRNA from 1 species